rnacentral:rRNA from 1 species
ACUGCUAAUACCGCAUAAGCGCACGGGAACGCAUGUUUCUGUGUGAAAAACUCCGGUGGUGUAAGAUGGGCCCGCGUUGGAUUAGGUAGUUGGUGAGGUAACGGCUCACCAAGCCGACGAUCCAUAGCCGACCUGAGAGGGUGACCGGCCACAUUGGGACUGAGACACGGCCCAAACUCCUACGGGAGGCAGCAGUGGGGAAUAUUGCACAAUGGGCGCAAGCCUGAUGCAGCGGCGCCGCGUGAGCGAAGAAGUAUUUCGGUAUGUAAAGCUCUAUCAGCAGGGAAGAAAAUGACGGUACCUGACUAAGAAGCUCCGGCUAAAUACGUGCCAGCAGCCGCGGUAAUACGUAUGGAGCAAGCGUUAUCCGGAAUUACUGGGUAUAAAGGGAGCGUAGACGGAUGUGCAAGUCUGAUGUGAAAGGCGGGGGCUCAACCCCUGGACUGCAUUGGAAACUGUAGAUCUUGAGUGCCGGAGAGGUAAGCGGAAUUCCUAGUGUAGCGGUGAAAUGCGUAGAUAUUAGGAGGAACACCAGUGGCGAAGGCGGCUUACUGGACGGUAACUGACGUUGAGGCUCGAAAGCGUGGGGAGCAAACAGGAUUAGAUACCCUGGUAGUCCACGCGGUAAACGA